GUACUUCCUUCUAGAGCAGUCAACUGCAAUCUUCCGUACACGGCGUAUGGAAAAUAGAUAUUGUAAUAAAAUAAUGUGAGUUUUGGGGGUGCCUGGCUAAUGGUUCUCACAUUUGCUCGGCGUGUUCACAAACACAUUGUGUUAAGGGUGACUGGCGAUCGUAAUGCAACAAGUGAGAGGCAUAAAUCGUCAUGGCUAAAGCGACUGCAGGUACUUUUCUUGUCAUCAGUAACGAAUUUUGAGAAAGAGACGUUGGAGAAGGACUACUUCAAGAUGAUGGCAGACAUGAUGGUGCUCUGCUUGAUUCUGGCUGUCUCCUUGGCUCUCUGGGUCGUUUCUAUGACAGCCAGCACGUAUUAUGGGACGCUGCAGCCAGUGUCUCCCUGGCGCUGGUUCUUUUCUAUGCUGGUCCCCAUUAUUCUUGUCACACGUGCCAUCAAGCGGAAGAGCCUUGACCACAGUGGUGCGUUAGGAGCAAUGCUGGUUGGAUUCCUUCUGACGAUGGCCAACCUGAGUUUCUUCUCCUCCUUGCUGGCAUUUUUCAUAACGUCCUCGAAACUCACAAGAUGGCGGGAAGACGUUAAAAAGCGCAUUGAUUCCGAAUAUAAGGAAGGUGGCCAGAGGAAUUGGAUACAGGUGUUCUGCAAUGGGGGUGUGCCUGCCGAGCUGGCCCUGCUCUACAUGAUCGAGGUGGGCCCUGGCGAGAUACCGAUAGACUUUGGCAAGCAGUAUACCGCCAGCUGGAUGUGCCUCGCCCUGCUGGCCUCUCUGUCCUGUAGUGCAGGGGACACCUGGGCCUCAGAGGUGGGGCCCGUUCUCAGCAGAAGCUCCCCCAGACUCAUCACCUCCUGGAAGGUGGUCCCGCCAGGUACAAAUGGAGGAGUUACCCCUAUAGGCCUAGUAGCAAGCCUUCUGGGUGGGAUGACAGUGGGUGUGGCUUACUUCAUCUCGCAGACCUUAUUCGCUAGGGAUUUGAAUCUGGCAGCCCCUCAGUGGCCAAUCAUUGUGUUUGGGGCUGCAGCUGGGCUGAUUGGAUCACUUCUGGAUUCUUUCCUUGGAGCCAGCAUGCAGUACUCAGGUUAUGAUGAAAGCACUGGAAAGGUUGUGAACCAUGAGUCUCGGACUGCAAAACACAUCUGUGGAAAACCCAUUCUGGACAACAAUGCUGUGAAUCUGUUCUCUUCCAUCCUCAUUGCCUUGGUUAUGCCUGGCAUCGCAUGGGGCAUCUGGCCUAGAAAAUAAAAUCUAAAGCAGCCAAUGGAUGGUCAAAAAUCAAUUUUCAUAGAAUGUAAGGGUGCUGUAUUGAAACCUUUUGUUCUGUGAGAAGAUGAGUGCAGUAUUCUCUUUUCAAUUACUAUUUUAUAUUGAACCUGGAAAGAGUGAUUUAGUCUAAAAUGAAAAAGCAGAAGAAAAUGUUUGUUUAUUCCGCUGCAUUGUCUUAAGAGUUUUGGUGUAUCCAAAUGGAUCCAUGACCUCGUUACUUCCUCUGAUUACUGCAUAGUCAUAUUCACAUUACCGUAUGAUAAAUAAAUCUCCAGCACUUUGUUAAUAUUGUAUCAAGUUUGUUUAAUGGCAGUAAUAUAUGCAUAUAAUGGUGUUUGUAAUGUUUCCUGAAAGAAUGUGAAUGGAUACACCUUUAAUUGUUUACUAAUAUAUUUGCAUACUAGCAGUAUCUGGGACUUUACCACCAUGCUGAUGUUCAUUAUUCAAUGUGUGCAUAAAUCACAAGUUUUAUAUUCUGGUCAUUUUGUGAAGCAAACAAUGUAACUUUAUUUUCAGUUCACUGUGUCCCCAUCACUCUGAACAGAAUAAGGGAUUGGAAGACAGAUGGAUUUGUCUGAGUUGGUACUGUUAUCAUUUUUAGUAAAUCUUUGUUGUUGAAAGUAACCAUACAAAAUAUACACCUUUACUGGCUAAUUGUGCAAUGCCUUAGUUCCAGCAUCAAUGACUGUAAUGUGAGUUUGGACGUUGGACUCCACGGAUAACAUGUCCUUCUGAAAAGUAGGCGGAAACUCAAGGUCGGCUGUUAAAAUUCCUCAACGUGGGCUUGUUGCUCUCUGCCUGGUAAUGGAAACUUUUUCACGGAAUCACAAAAUCCGUUACUCACUCUGAGUUAUUUGCUGCCAUAUUAAGGUCGCUGAUAUAUUUUUGUAACAACAAAAACCUUACCAGUGGCAGAAUGACCGUAAUUCAAAAUGUGUAACGUUAUAAAUAAAAUUAUUUAAUCAAUAUAUUUCAUUUUUGUUUUCAUAACUGGCCAGCUGAACUUCCUCUACUGUUGCUGCAAACCAUCCAUUAAUACGCUUUACUUAUUCAUGUUCGUUCAAAUGUAUAUAUCUGUACACAUCUUUUAGGUCAACGAGCGGCACUGUGAUCCGUUUGUAAAAUUCCCCCAUGAAUAGGUCAAAUAAAUUCAGUCACCAUUUUUACAGUCAUUGUGAACUUAUUAAAAGCACACUAGUCGUCCAGUUAAUUGUUUUCAAAAAGGUAUUUCGUUCAUUCAGACGAUCCAGCUUAACCCGUUUAACCUAAAAACGCCCAAACGCGUCCAACCCUGAAAGGUCUCCAAAGCCCUGCAGCUCCAGCCAAUCAUUUUAUCGCGUUUGAAAUACGGCACACGCCGAAGCUGCAGCCAAUUAGAUGCUGAUAUUUGAAACACGUCACACGGCGCCACCUUCGAAAUGCUUUGUUUAUAGACGGAAGGCGCAAUACUGUUAAACAGGUGAGACGAGAGCGAGUUAACAAUACAAGAAGUGAAUAAGCUGCAGAAUUACUACUCGACGGUAAGAAAAUGAAUUCGGGAAAAGCACUACAGACAGCUGCUCAUCCAAACCAGCAUCCACCAACCCCAAGCUUUGCGAAGAGAAGGAAGGCACAAGAAAAGUAAGUCUUGAAACAGACAUCAGAAGUCCGACAGACAGCAUGAUAUCUCCAUGUACACGCAGACUCAUGAAGAAAGUGACUAAGGACGUGCAAACCUUACCACCCGUGCCUGUGUUUACUGCAGAAGACAAGGAAAACACUCCCACAUGAAUAUCUUGCAUCUAAUGAAUGAAGGUGUCUCAAUAUUUAACCUGCUUGCAUUUUGCUCUUGAUGCGUGAAAUGGCUAGUAGUCUCAAGUGCAUCAAACUAGUUUGGUAUCGACACAGAAGGCUCUGGCUGUUUGGGUCAGACUCCUUAAUCCACACUGAUAGUUAUCCAGUGUUCUGAGCUUUGUGGUUAUGACUGAUAAUUGCAUAUGGCUUGGAACGGUGCACAGCCAAAAGGCCUGAUGCCAAAUGUCAUUAAACGUUGAACCCCUUAUAUAAUUUGACUGCUGCUUAUCGCAUCAGGUAAAAUUCUGAUGGUAGAUGUGCUUCUGCUGUAAGUGGUGAUUGAUUAAUAAUUAAAGGAAAAUUAGGGUGUUAGUGCUUUUAGCAGUCUUGGGUGUUAUCCGAUUGGAGCGUGAAUUGUCCUAUGGGUUGUUGGUACUAUGUAGGCCCCUUUGAUCUAAAGGCACUUAGGGGCUUUUGGGGGCUGUUAUUGUUCUGUUGGAAAGCCUAGUUAGUGUUGGGUGAGUUUUUAUGCAUCGCAAACUGCAUUUCUGAGACUGUCUGAAUGCUACCCAACUAAUGUUCAGUUUGCACACUGUUAAACUGCCUAUGUAUGACUUCGCCACACACUAUAUCCUUCCCUAAGAAAAAUAAAGGUAAUAUAUUUAUUGGCAA